rnacentral:rRNA from 1 species
GUGAGGAAUAUUGCGCAAUGGAGGCAACUCUGACGCAGCCAUGCCGCGUGCAGGAAGAAGGCGCUACGCGUUGUAAACUGCUUUUAACCGGGAAGAAACCCCAGGACGUGUCCUGGGUUGACGGUACCGGAGGAAUAAGCACCGGCUAACUUCGUGCCAGCAGCCGCGGUAAUACGAAGGGUGCAAGCGUUAUCCGGAUUCAUUGGGUUUAAAGGGUGCGUAGGCGGAGCGUUAAGUCAGUAGUGAAAUCCUGCAGCUUAACUGUAGACUUGCCAUUGAUACUGGCGCUCUUGAGUGCGCUUGAAGUGGGCGGAAUGUGCCGUGUAGCGGUGAAAUGCUUAGAUAUGGCACAGAACACCAAUUGCGAAGGCAGCUCACUAAGGCGAUACUGACGCUGAGGCACGAAAGCGUGGGGAUCGAACAGGAUUAGAUACCCGUGUAGUCC